rnacentral:rRNA from 1 species
CGCGUAGGUGGUUUUGUAUGUCUGCCGUGAAAGGGUACAGCUUAACUGUAGCUUGUCGGUAGAAACUGCAGGACUUGAGGCUGGGAGGGGCUGGUGGAAUUCCCUGUGUAGCGGUGAAAUGCGUAGAGAUGGGGGAGAACACUCGUGGCGAAGGCGGCCAGCUAGACCAGUUCUGACACUGAGGCGCGACAGCGUGGGGAGCAAACA